GCUGGGCUCAGGGGCCACCUGCUCAGGCUCCGAGCGCGGCACGCCGUGGGGUGGACUGAUCACGUCACAGCCCUGCGGCCGGCGAGCUUAUUGUGACUUCUUAGGGCCUCGGUUCUGCCGGGCUCCGUCCCUCGGGUGACCUUGAGCGCUGGGGCCGCUGCUCAUGUAAAACGGGGAGAAGGCACUGAGUGCCCAGGAAGGGCCCCUAAAACAGUCACUGGGGCCUGCUCCUGUUGGGGCUCCCCCCGCCCCCUCUUACCCCGGGCGGGACCCGGGUCCUGCCGGAACCGGCGACAGGAGGGUAGAGGAAGAGCGGAAGGGGUGGACUGAGCGCCCCGCCCGGACUCCGGUGUCCUGACCCAGCCGUGUAGCAAGCCGACCCCGGCGCGGACGCUGGGCGCCGGCACCGCAAGGCUCAUCUGUGAGGACAGUGAGCCUACAUCCGGCUGUAAACUGGACCCUCCUCACCAGGAACGUCCACGAUGAGAAAGUCUACUAGUCUUGAGAAGAAAUGACUCUCCUAGGGAGAAUAUCAUCCUGCGCAUUAGGAUAAGUCAAAGAUGUGUGCUAUCACUUCUGACUCUGAGCUGAGGUCGGUGACUGUUGUUUGCUGAGCUACUUUCUGGGACACCCGGCGGUUCUCUACGCCCACGAAUCAGAUCUCACGAUGGCCCCCCCCUGCUUGCCACUCCACUGCUCUUGUAAAGUCCACCCAUUGACUCCUGUGUCACCCUGUCACUGUGGGAAAUGCAGCAUUUACCCCAUUGCUCUCCGGUCUCAGGUUUCCGUUUUCAGAUUGAGAAAUACGUCGUUUUUCUUCUGGGCCAAGUAUAUGCAGCGGGACCAGCGUUAACUCUAAGAGGCUUGCAGCCAGGAGGACUCAGAAUGUAUGCAGGCUCAUCAGAACAGGCCUGGCUCAUUAUGAUGGUGGUGAGGGUGUGCGUUUCCAGGAAGUACAGGUAAUGGAAACGUGAAGAAGACUAAGCUUAGGAUCCCCAAGGUAGAGAUUGGGAUUUCUCUUCGGGUGGAUCCUCUCUUUGCUCCUGGAGGAAAGGCUGUGUAAUUUCACAUGUGUGCUACAACGUCUGUAUAAAUUCAUGUGGGAUUGAGGUCUGCACUUCAUUAUCUUUGUUAUUUCAAUGGAUUAGCCUAAAAGCGGUUUCUUUAUUUUGAGCUGAGCUUCCAUUUGGAAAAUAAAGACUGGAUACAUAAACAAGAUGGUAAUCCUGUACAAUGAAAGCAUUUUGAAUCCAAUUUUGGAGUUAGAUAACUUAAUGAUGAAAAAUUAGGCAUUUGCUCUUACAAAUUCGGAGGUCCUUCUGCUGGUAGAAGAAUGUGGCCACAUAAUCUCUGCUCGAUGCUCUUUGAAGGAAUUUAUUUAAUGGCCAGCCUGGCUUGGCUAAGAACAUCUCCAAUGUUAGUUCCUCAAGGGGUUAUUUAAGAAUGAAUAAAACAUGACUUUGGGGAAGCUAAAUAUGGCAUUUGUAGUUCCUGGUGGACAGAGCAUCUUUGAGCAUCUUUGAGUGCAGAUAUUUUGCUUGUCAAUUAACCCCCCUCUCAGGACAGAAGGCAGAACAUGAGAAGAACGUUAGCCAGUCUUCCCCUUCUUCACGUUGGAAUCCAGCCCAGGAAGCUUUGUUAUGUGGGCCGGACGUAUAGUCAUGGAGGGCUGGAUGUGUCCGGGGAAGAAGGACACCCACGCCCACAGGCAGAAUUACCCAGAUCUGUAACUGUGGCGAAAUCUGGUCUGGAUCACCCGGCGGAAGAACCAGGUGGCACUCGGAGAUCUUGGAAGGCAGGAGGGUUAAUUUACACCAGUGGGCUCAGACGAGCUCAUUCUCAGAGGUCUGAGCCCUGAGCACGAGCAGAGGGAACAAUUUAUAGUCCGUUACUUCUGCAUCCCUCAUUAAUGUGCAACAAGCAGGGUGGGAAGAAGAACCCGGAAGGGGGAACCUUGGAUCAGGGACAGGAAUUUCCUUGUCGGUCCUGUGGGCCAUCUUGUAACAGAUUUUUCCCUAUCAUAAGGAUCAAGGAAUCCGCCCGUCCAGAUCUUCCAGAAUCUCGGAAGAAGCUCCAUCAGUGCCUCCCCGGGCCAACGUGUUUUCUGAAAUCUGCAAACGUAGAAGGUCACUGUCUCUUUCCGUUCUGAUGUCCUUCCACUCUGUCCCUGUAGGCGGUAGUGGAGACACCGAGGACAGUUCGAGAAAGAGUUCUCAAAUGUUACAUGGGAUGGACUGAGUGUUGUUAAUGAGGACUAUUUAUGGUCUGUCACGGCACGAGAUGCUGUGAAAUCCUGCCGCUCGGGUGAGCUUGACAAAGGCCUUCUGAAAAUCCUGCCGCUCGGGUGAGCUUGACAAAGACCUUCUGAAAAUCCUGCCGCUCGGGUGAGCUUGACAAAGGCCUUCUGAAACUGGGCAAGAAUCCUGAAAAUGUGCACAAACUUAUCAAUGAUGAAUGGUGAAGGUGAUGUGAGCUUCUCAAAACCGACAAUACCAAAACCUCAAAAUUCUGGCCAGCUUAGCUACAGAAAAAACCAGAACUAUUUUUUAUAACAUAACAUAACAUAACAUAGCAUAAC